rnacentral:rRNA from 1 species
GACGAACGCUGGCGGCGUGCCUAAUACAUGCAAGUUGAGCGCUGAAGGUUGGUACUUGUACCAACUGGAUGAGCAGCGAACGGGUGAGUAACGCGUGGGGAAUCUGCCUUUGAGCGGGGGACAACAUUUGGAAACGAAUGCUAAUACCGCAUAAAAACUUUAAACACAAGUUUUAAGUUUGAAAGAUGCAAUUGCAUCACUCAAAGAUGAUCCCGCGUUGUAUUAGCUAGUUGGUGAGGUAAAGGCUCACCAAGGCGAUGAUACAUAGCCGACCUGAGAGGGUGGUCGGCCACAUUGGGACUGAGACACGGCCCAAACUCCUACGGGAGGCAGCAGUAGGGAAUCUUCGGCAAUGGACGAAAGUCUGACCGAGCAACGCCGGGUGAGUGAAGAAGGUUGUCGGAUCGGAAAACUCUGUUGGUAGGGAAGAACGUUGGGGAGAGUGGAAAGCUCAUCAAGUGACGGUAACUACACAGAAAGGGACGGCUAACUACGUG